UACGUAGGGUGCAAGCGUUAAUCGGAAUUACUGGGCGUAAAGCGUGCGCAGGCGGUUUUGUAAGUCUGUCGUGAAAUCCCCGGGCUCAACCUGGGAAUGGCGAUGGAGACUGCAAGGCUAGAGUUUGGCAGAGGCAAGCGGAAUUCCCAGUGUAGCGGUGAAAUGCGUAGAUAUUGGGAAGAACACCGGUGGCGCAAGCGGCUUGCUGGGCCAUAACUGACACUGAGGAACGAAAGCUAGGGGAGCGAAUGGG
rnacentral:rRNA from 1 species